GGAAAGAUGUGUUCAACUGUUCAACAAGCUUGACCAAGAUGGCGGUGGCACCAUCGACGCCGCUGAGUUUGUUAUGGCGCUGUUCCCUUCGGCCUACUACACCAUGUAC
rnacentral:rRNA from 1 species